rnacentral:rRNA from 1 species
UGAAUACGAGACGCUAAGGCGUCGAAGUAGUGUAUGUCAUACUUCCAAGAAAAGCUUGCACUGCCAUAGAUAAAAAACGCCUGUACCAUAACCGACACAGGUGGGUAGGUAGAGUAUACUAAGGGGCGCGAGAUAACUCUCUCUAAGGAACUCGGCAAAAUAACUCCGUAACUUCGGGAGAAGGAGUGCCUUAUUCGUAAGGUUGCAAUAACAAGAUCCAAGCAACUGUUUAUCAAAAACACAGGUCUCCGCUAAGUCGUAAGACGAUGUAUGGGGGCUGACGCCUGCCCAGUGCCAGAAGGUUAAAGAAGUUGGUUAGCAAUUGCGAAGCUGAUAACUGAAGCCCUGGUGAACGGCGGCCGUAACAAUAACGGUCCUAAGGUAGCGAAAUUCCUUGUCGGGUAAGUUCCGACCCGCACGAAAGGUGUAAUGAUUUGGAUACUGUCUCGGAGAGGGGCUCGGUGAAAUAGACUUGUCUGUGAAGAUGCGGACUACCUGCACCAGGACAGAAAGACCCUAUGAAGCUUUACUGUAACUUGAAAUUGAAAUUGGACUUUAUUCGCGCAGUAUAGGUGGGAGGCGUUGAUUAUAAUCUUGUGGGAUUAUUGGAGCCAUCAGUGAGAUACCACUCUUGUAAUGUUAGAUUUCUAACUUUGAAUCAUUAUCUGGUCAAAGAACAGUUUCAGGCGGGCAGUUUGACUGGGGCGGUCGCCUCCUAAACGGUAACGGAGGCGUACAAAGGUUUCCUCUGAACGGUUAGAAAUCGUAUCUAGAGUGUAAAGGCAUAAGGAAGCUUGACUGUGAGACCUACAAGUCGAGCAGGGACGAAAGUCGGUCUUAGUGAUCUGACGGUACUGAGUGGGAAGGCCGUCACUCAACGGAUAAAAGUUACUCUACGGAUAACAGGCUGAUCUCCCCCAAGAGUUCACAUCGACGGGGAGGUUUGGCACCUCGAUGUCGGCUCAUCGCAUCCUGGGGCGGUAGUACGUCCCAAGGGUUGGGCUGUUCGCCCAUGAAAGCGGUACGCGAGCUGGGUUCAGAACGUCGUGAGACAGUUCGGUCCAUAUCCGGUGUAGGCGUUAGAAUAUUGAGAGGAGCCUUCUUUAGUACGAGAGGACCGAGAAGGACAUACCUCUGGUGUACCAGUUAUCGUGCCAACGGUAAACGCUGGGUAGCUAUGUAUGGAGUGGAUAACCGCUGAAAGCAUCUAAGUGGGAAGCCCACCUCAAGAUAAGUA